ACCUACGUUAUUCCACUCUCUUUGCCUCCAAUAUGUUUUCCCCCAAAAUUGUCAUUUCCCCUCAAACCUAAUUCCCACCUCUUCAAUUGAGGCAGAAAGAUUUAGCAGAAAUACAUUGUUAAGCAAAUUUUGCGAGACACUCGGCUUGAAGAUCCAGAAACGAGAUUUUCUUCCGCUUCGGAGUCUGUUGAAACGCCAUUCGAAUCGAACACUUCCUUGUUCACUGCAGGUACUUGUAUUCCUAAUUUGUUUGUUAAUGCUUGUGCAAAUUAUUUCGUUUUUUAAUUUUAAACUUCAAUUGGCCUUUGGAAUGAAUAUUCGGGUAAUUAUUUUACUGCUCUAGUUUCAUUUUCGCCUGUGAUGGUAAUCAAUCAUGUGGGUUUCAAUUUCAUUGACUGAAGAAUACAGUUGGGAAAAAAAAAAAACUAUCUUUCUAAUUUCCUCAAAAUUUAGAACGAUUUGAUCAAAUCCUAUAGAAUAUGAUAUCCGUGUUGUUUAACUAUGUGGGGGCUGCUUCUGGUGCUGUUCUUCUUUUGGCAUUUAAUGGCACAUUUGGUACUCGCUAAUAGAUGGGAGGGAAGAGUAUUAAAGAAUCUAAAAUAUUUUGGCACAUGCGGUGCAGUGAAUGGUUUGUUUAUAAAUUUUUCAGUUUUUUCCUCUUCCUUGGCUUCUUGGCCUUUAUUUUGUUACAAAUGGUUUUUAUUUUUCUAGAUGCUAGUUGUGGGUUUUUCUAGCUGUGUCAUAUGCUGUUUUGUAUUGGUGUAUUCUUGUGUUUCAUUAACUGUGUGGACACUUGAAGAAAUGACUGUUAGUUUCUGCCAAUUUUCCAAAAAUUUGUUUUUCUUAUAGUUCAUUUUCCUGCCUUCUAUAAAGAAAUUGAUAGCAGUGAGGAAAGAGGAUUAGAGUGUUCUUUAUGUAUAUGCGGGCAAACCUAUGAAGUAAUGUUGGAUUAGUUUGUAGUUGAUAGGAAACUUUAGUCGUAUUUUCUUCAUGUACUAUGCCACUUGAAGGCUUGAACUCCAUAUUUCUUGUCACAACUUACAGAAAAUUGGAAUUCGCCACGUCCAUAUCCUGUAGUUGAGGCCUUCAAUGACUAGUAUGAUUUAUAUAUUCCCAUACUCAUGUCCAGUGUGUGAGUCCUGAGUCCUGUUGAAAGCUGUGCUCCUCUUAAUUGGAGCCAUUUACCUAUGGCAAGGAGAGCAGGUGGGGUGGUUUAAUCGUCAUUUUUUUUUUUUUGAAUAUAUAUAUAUAAUAAUUCUAUUUAUCAAUUAUGAUAAUAGAAUAUCAGUGAUGCGAUAAUCUAUGUGGAAUAAUGAGAUUGUGUAGUUCAAUUUUUAUGAGAGAGGGAGAAGAGACAUGGUUUGUGACGGAUAAUGAGUUGUUGUAUCAUCGAUAUUCCAACAUCAUGAUGAUAAAAGAAUUACUCAAUUAUAAAUGGCUUAUCAUAAAGUAGAAAUUGUACUAAUGAGCUAAAAACAAAAAGACCACUAACCCAUUAAUGACCUAAUCCAAAUAUAUGAAGCCCAAUAAUUGAUUAAUGAUCAGUCCCAUCUUUCAACACAUUUACAUAAGGAAUUCGAAACGAGAUUUCUUCCAUGUAUUCAUAGUCAAAAGUAUUAAGGUUUAGAUUAAUUUUGUUUCAUAAUGAAAAAUUAUCAAUCAUAGUAGGGUAGGUCUCUAUUAUAUAGUUUUGUUUUUAUAUUUUCCGUCUCAAGUAUUCAAGUAAUUAUUUGAAUAUAGAUAAUAAAUAUUUAAAUCAAUAUUUGAAUAAUAAAUAUAUAAUUCAAUAUUUUAUAAAAAAAUAAAUAAAUUAAGGGCUUGUUUUAGAGCGAUUUUUUGACCCAAAAAAAUGAUUUUUGACCGUUAUUUUACUAUUUCAGUCGUCAUAUUUGACUUCUUUUCUCAUGGGUGGACCCCACUUUUCUCCUAACGGUCAAAAAAUCAAUUUUCAAAAUUGCUCCCAAACAGGCUCUAAAAAGUUUAAACGGUAUGGGUGGGGAUUCUCAUUCUCGCAGCCUCAAUCAGCUCAUAUAUAUUUACUAAAAUAAGUAUUAUUCAUAUUACACAUGCAUAUAAAAUUUACAUUUGAACCUAUAUUAGUAAUCUUCUUAGAAAUAUAAAUUAUUAAACAAGAAAAAAUGUAUUCUAUAUUUCAUUUGGGAUCAUUUUUCUAAUGAUCUCAAAUCUUUACCUUUUUGUAGACUUUAUCUCAAUUUUCAGUUUGUGCCAUUUAUAAUCUCAAAUCUUUUAUUUUGUUACACCACAAAAACAAAUAAAUAUGAAUUUGACCAUUAAUUGAUCUAAAAACUGAAAAUUUAACCAAAUUAUAAAGGGAUAAAACGAUGGAUCAGUCUAGAUGUACAGAAAUUUUUUUGUACGAACCUCCUACAACUAAACACACAUUGGUGUGGUGGAUGAUUUAUUUUUUGGAAUAAAAUAUUCACCUGUAAGAUUUUUGUGAAGCUUCUGACAAUGGUUUGCCUGGACACUUGGAUUUUUUCUAAAACGAUAGCUUUACAUUUUUCUAACAUUAAAUAAUUAAAUAUAAUUAAAUUAAAAAACCAAAACAAAAGAAAAUAAAACUCAUCAUCUUCUUCCACUUCUCCCCAAACAAAUAGAAAAUUGGAAAACCAUUAGCCCCCGUCGGCCCGUGGCCAAAAAAGCAUCUAACCAAAAUGGAACCCAGAUGAAAAACAUCUUCUCCACUGCCAGAUUGAGAGACAUUCUUCAAAAUCCCUGCUAAAUUGCUCAAAUUUAAAGCCAACGAGAGGCACAAUGUCCUCCAAAAUCUGGUCUUCCCAAUCAACAGUGGUGUCACCAUCUCAACUUUUCUUCUCGCGUUCAUAAUUGGAAUCGUCCUUUGCCGACUCGCUAUCACCAUCACCUCCAUCAAAUGGUGGCGAGAACACUGGCUUCCUCAAAUUAAUUACAGCAAUUGCAAUUGAUUACAGCAAAUUACAAGGUUUGAAGAUAUUACAAUCUGGAUCUUAAUUCAUCAAAUUAUAGGGAUUACAACAAAUUAAGUUGACUACAGCAAUUGCAAUCAAGAUCUUAAUAAUUCAUGAUUCUAAAAUUCAGAUGAAAGUCUGUCCCAAACUGUUAAGGUUUCGGAUCCACCCUAAUAAGGUCAACCUUAUUAAGAGGAGAAGCACAAGAACUUUAUAAAUUGGUAUUUAUUUCGGUAUUAAAUCGAUGUGGGAUAAUACAUCCCUUAAUAGGCUCCCUCAAGAUGGUGGCUCAUUUUGAACAGAUCAAUCUUGAAAUCCACGGGAUGAUUCUGAUACCAUGUUAAAAUUUGGGGUCUACCUUAUUAUCCUAAUAAGGUCAACCUUAUUAAGAGAAGAAACUUAAAAUCUUUAUAAAUUGAUAUUUAUUUCGGUAUUAAACCGAUAUGGGAUAACACAUCCCUUAACACAAACCCAGAACACGGUAACUAAAACCUGUUAAUUUCAAAUCUAAUUGAUUGUAAAGAAAAAAGCGUUGAGAUUUAUGAGGUUUGAAGAAUUUUUUUUUUUUUUUUUUUGAUAGGUGAGGUUUGAAGAAUCUUGGCAUACAAAAGCUAAAACUUACGAUAAAACUAAGGUCCUAUGAGUUGAAUGGAUGUUCUGAAAUAGUGAAAGCGAAGCACAAAUUUCAAGAUUUUUGGGUUUUGAUUUCUGGGGUUUAUGGAAACAUGAAAGCGAAGCAGAAAGUGUCGGGAUUUAUGGUGUUUGAUUUCUAUGUUUCAUAAAGAUGGAUUUUGUUACUCCCCUCACAUAGCACCUUGGCACGUCUAUUUUGUUAAACAACCCAAAGAAAAUAAAGAAGAAAAAGGAGGAGGCUAGGGUUUCAUUGAUACUACGUAAUUAAUUAAAUGCUAAAAAGAUGGUUUAACCUAAAUACAAAGAGAUAAUAUAUAGGCUAAACAAAGGAAACUAAAAAGUACUAUUCUACCCUUAAUAAAUAAUAAAUAAUCCUAUAUUUCUUAACAUCUCCCCUCAAACUCACGAUGCGGUAGCUACAAGCAUCGAGAGUUUGCCAAAUAGAAAACGAAAAUGAGAAAUAGAAUGCGACUUGGUAAAAAAAAUCUGCAAGCUGCAAAGAAGAAUAAACAAAGGGCAAAGUAAUUGUGCCAUGCUUGAGAUGAUGAUGAGUAAGAGGACAAUCGAUCUCAAUGUGCUUAGUUCGUUCAUAAAAAUCGAGUUGUGAGCAAUCUGAAUAGAAAUUUGGUUGUCGCAAUACAUAGGAGUGGGAUGAGAAAGAAAAACUCCCAUAUCUGCAAGUAACUAACGUAACCAAACAAUCUCUUUAGUAGUAGAUGCCAUAGCACAAUAUUCUGCUUUGGUGGAAGAUUGAGAAACAAUAGAUUGUUUCUUGCUUUUCCAAGAAAUAAGAUAAUCACCUAAAAAGAUACAGAAAGCAGUAACAGACUUGCGAUCUGUGGGAUCACUGCCACAAUCAGCAUCAGAGUAUGCACGUAGCUCCAAGGAGGAGGUGGAUGGAAGUAACAGACUCUGAAAGACUGUACCCCGAAGAUAUCGCAAAAUGUGAAGAACAACUGCCCAAUGAACUGUAGUGGGAGAAGCAACAAACUGACUAACAAUAUGAACAACAUAUGCAAUAUCUGGACGAGUAAUAGUGAGAUAUAUCAAGCUCCCAACAAUAGUACAGUAUAAAGUAUGAUCUGAGAAAGGUAAACCGUCAGAAGAAGAAUACUUCGUGUUAACCUCAAUUGGAGUAUCAACAAUCUUAUUAUCAGUAAGUCUUGCCCGCUCAAGAAUAUCUGCAACAUAUUUCGACUAAGAAAGAAGAUAACCUCUGGGUGAGAAGGCUACCUCAAUACCCAAGAAAUAUUAUAGAGAACCCAAAUCUUUCAUUUCAAACUGUCUAGCUAACUCUGUCUUCAAAACUGAAAUACCAUCAAUAUUAUCACCAGUAAUAAUCAUUUCAUCAACAUAUAAAGAUAGAAUGAUACGACUUGCAUCAGUACUCUUAACAAAAAGAGCAGAAUCAUGACUACUAGAAGCAAAUCCAAGGGAAGAGAUCACAACAGAAAAUUUCUUAAACCAAGCACGAGGUGUUUGUUUGAGACCAUACAACGCUUUCUUGAGCUUGCAAACAUACUCAGAAUCAUGUGAAACACCAGGAGGGGGUGCCAUAUAAACCUCUUCUUGAAAAUCUCCAUUCAGGAAGGCAUUUUUAACAUCAAGUUGAGAGAUACAUCACUGACGAACCAAAGCUACUGCAAUAAGAGUACGAAUAGUAGUCAUUUUUGCAACAUAAGCAAAUGUCUCCUCAUAAUCCAUACCAUACCGUUGAGAGUAUCCCUUUGUAACCAACCUAGCUUUGUAUCGCUCAAUUGACCCAUCAGAAUUAGUCUUGAUCUUAUAUACCCAACGACAACCAACAACACUCUUACCAGAAGGUAAAGUAACCAAAUUCCAAGUACCAGUCUUAUGCAAAGCAGAAAGUUCAUCAUUCAUAGCUUGCUGUCAAAGAGGAUCAAGAAUUGCCUCUUUAUAGGAAGAGGGCUCAGAGAGACAAUGAAUAGAAGCUAAAAAGGUAGAAAAUGAUAAAGAAUAACAAGAAUAAGCAAAAUCUGGUAACUUUGUAGACUUACGAAUGCGUAUGGAUUGACGUAGAGACGGAUCCACAAUCUCAGAUGGAGCUUGAGGGACCGUAGGAGAAGAGGACGCUUCAGGCGUGCCGGAGAGUAAAGUGUCAGUACCUGCGGAAUGAUUAGUACAAAUUGGUUGUAAAGACAACGGGGUAGGAACAUGAGAAUGACCAUUGGAAGUAGUAGGCUCCUGAGAAGACAAAUUAUCAGGAUUGUCAGAAAAAUGAUCUAUACGAAUAAGAUCAGAUCUAGUCAGACUAUAAGUAGUGGAUGGAAUAGAAAAGAAAGGCAUAUGCUCGAGAAAAACAACAUGACGAGACACGUAAAGUUUCUGAGUUAUUGGAUCAAAAAAAUGAUACCCCUUUUUACCUUCACCAUAACCAAAAAAGACACAAAUAGCAGAUCGAGAUGACAACUUGCUGCGUUCUACAUGAGGACGAAGAACGAAACAAGUACAACCAAAAACUCUAAAGAGAGAAUAAUCGGGGUAUACUCAUACAACUUUUCGAAAGGAGAAAACCCUAAAAUAUGAGAAGAUGGACUUGUAUUAAUCAAAUCUACAGCAGUAAGAACAGUUUCACCCCAAAACACACUAGGGACAGAUGCAGACAACAAGAGAGAGAGCAGUUUCAACAACGUGCGUAUGUUUUCUUUCAGCAACACCAUUUUGCUCAGGAGUAUCUGUACACGAAGUUUAGUGAAUAGUUCCAUCUAAAGUAAGAAGCUCACAAAAUUUAUUAGAAGUGUAUUCCCCACCCAAAUCACACAUAAAACAUUUGAUAACAGCAGAAUGUUGAGUUUUAACAAGAGCACGAAAGGCUAAGUAUAUCUCAAAAAAUUCAAAACGAUGUUUCAUUAAAUAAAUCCAGCAAUAACGAGUGUGAUCAUCAAUAAAGGAAACAUAAUAUCGAGAUCCUCCUUUUAUGGCAAUAGGAGAAGGCUCCCAUAUAUCAGAAUGAAUCAAAUCAAAUGGAGAAGAAGAAAUAGAAAUACUUCGAUUAAAAGGUAAAGCUGAAAAUUUUGUCAGUUUGCAUCCACUACAAUCAGAAAUAUCACAAGGGUGUAAAUUUCCUAAAGCCCCUGUAGAAGCUAAAAAUCUCAAACGAGACGACGAAACAUGACCUAGACGAGAAUGCCAUAAAUAAAAAUUAGAAGAAGAAGGACUCAAACGAAAGAAGACAAAUCAACACUAGUAGCGGCAACAGCAAUUGACACUUUUAGCUCAUCCAAAAUAUAUAGUCCACUCUUCCUACGACCUGUCCCAAUUAGUUUCUGAGACUGCAGAUCCUGCACAUAACAAGAAGAAGAGAAAAAUGUGACUAAAUUACCGGAAUCACAUAACUGACCAACAGAAGCAAGAUUUAAUGUGAGUUUCGGAAUAUGAUAAAUAUUAGGGAGGGACAAGUGAUGUGUGACAACAGAACCAACACUUGCUAAUGGCAUAGGAGUGCCAUCAGCAGUCAUGACAGCAAUAGAGGACGAAGGGGACACAGAAGCAAAAGACGAAAAAUCUGGAGACAUAUGAUGUGAAGCACCAAAAUCCAAGACCCAUACAGAAUGUGACAUACCUGAAGAACUAUGAGGCAACUGACUUAUGGAAGAAGCAGACAUAGCUUGAGGCUGUAAGGAGAGAAACUUCUGAAAUUGCUCAGCCAAAGUACUAGGAUCAGUAAAAUGACCUGAUGAAGCUACUGCUGCAGUAUUAGAUUGUGGUGGUCUAUGAGCAUUAGAUCGUGAUUGGUUGCCAGGCUUCCAAGCUUGAGAUUGCUGCUGUAAUUGAUUCGACUGUCUCAACUUAGGACACUGAGCCUUCCAAUGACCUUUAUGCUUACAGAAACUGCACUCGUCAAAGGCAACCCUUGUGUAAGGCUUAUUCUGAUUAUUAGAGGAUGGCUUAGAAGACACUGCUAAUACAGAAGGAUUAGAAGCAGAAAGAAUUCCAUUUUCAGCAUAAGACUUAUGACGUAUUUCUUUAGCCAAUCACUCACUGACAACUAAAUCAACAGAAGGAAGUGAAGAACGAUGCAAAAUUGAACCUCCGAGUCCUUCAAAAUCACUACGAAGUGCCGUUAAAAAUUGUACCAACCGUUGCUGCUCUCUACGAGUAAUAUAGGCAGCACAUGCCUUUAAUUCUGUCGUUUCUGUAAGGGCCAAUUGAUCCCAAAGAUCUGUCAUAGCAGAAUAAAACUCCUGAAUACUUAUAUUAUUUUGAUGAAGAGCUCGUAUAUCAUUCUCCAAUUGAUACUGCUUUGCAAAAUUUGACUGAGUGAAUAAUCUUUGCAGAUGAUCCCAAACCUCCUUUGCCGUCUCAUACUUCACCAACUCUCUACCUAUGGAAUGCUCCACAGAGUUGUUAAUCCAAGUAAUAAUUUUUGAAUUGUUUGAUUCCCACGUAUCUAUUAAAGCAGCAUAACCCUCAUUGGUAUUCUCAGGUUUCACAGAAGUUCCACUAAUGAAUCCUCACAUCUUUUACCCUUAAGAAAAUUUUUCACACGUAACUCCAAUACGAAUAAUUCUUUCCAUCCAACCUCACACUCACAGACUGAAGCGAAUCGUCUCUUUCAAUAGCCAUAAUAAAAAAAUAACAGAUUGCAGAAAUACCGGAUUGCAAAUUUAACAGAUUUGUCCCAUGAAAUCUAACUCUGAUACCAUGUUAAACAACCCAAAGAAAAAAAAGAAAAAAAAAGGAGGAGACUAGGGUUUCAUUGAUACUAUGUAAUUAAUUGAAUGCUAAAAAGAUGGUUUAACGUAAAUACAAAGAGAAUAUAUUUAGGCUAAACAAAGGAAACUAAAAAAGACUAUUCUACCCUUAAUAAAUAAUAAAUAAUCAUAUAUUUCUUAACAUAUUUUAGACGCCAACAGAGGCAUGAGGUCAUCGAAGUGAUACAGUUUGAGGCGUCUUCAUGUUUCGAGGCGUUGCUUUCGAAGUGUGAGAUGACCAAAGCACCUCUUCGCCAUGAGUUUCACAAAUGGAUCUUUUGGUCAAAAUUGUCUCUGUGUCUUUAAGAAUGAUUGAUGUGAUAUCUCUAUCAUAUGUUAAUUCAAAAUGAGAAGAAUUAAUUGUCCGCCCAUCUAGGAAGCGACUGAUGAACUCCUACAAGCUCGCACCGUGGGAUAAUUAAACGUCUCGCAUCUAGUGGUGCUUUCACCUCUAAAUACCAAGAACUUGACCAAGAAUAAGAGAUGUAUGACAUACGUGUUAUUCCACAACCAAGAUAUUAUAUUUUCUCCUUCCAAGAGUUUGUGCAUUUCGGCAUCGUCACCACCAUCGUCAACUAACUUGAUCGUCGGAGUGUAUGUGGCCAUCAUCUCUACCGCUGGUACUGGCCAUAUACGUCUGAUCGUUUGUUGUUGCACGCAAGAAAGAACAGGUGGAGGGUCCAAUUCGCAUGGUCAACAGAUUUGAUUUUUGGUUUUCAUUCCGGUGGUCGACGGUUAGCAGGGCUAGUAAUUUUCCAGUUUCGAUUUAUUUGGGGUGGAAUGGUGAGUAGGGUAGUAUGGUGGAAGAAGAUAAUGAGUUUUAUUUUCUUUCAUUUUGAGUUUUUUUUUUAAUUAAAUUAUUUAAUGCGAAGGUAUUUAAAACUUUCGAUAAAACUAAGGUCUUAUUAGUGUUCACAAUUCAAAGUUUACACGUCUACCACACGGAAAUAUGAAUUAUUUUAUAAUCAAUUUAUUAUUUAUCACGAGUCAAGAAAAGACCGACAAGUUUGCCACUUGUGUAAUUAGAAACCGACACUUUGACUAAUGAUGACGCAAACACAUACUACAGGAAACAUAAUUAAUAACGUCAUUAAAUCCUCAAUGAUUUGAAGUAAUCAAUAAAGUCGAAGAAAGUCAGUCGGUGGAAGUAGUUAAUUAACUAAUCACGUCAAACACGACCUUUAAGAC
rnacentral:lncRNA from 1 species